CCGUAACGUCGCUUCUUCUCCAAGCACAAAGGCAAAUGGAGAUAUCAAUCUCUGUCUCUUGAAACCAGCGCAACACAUAAUUAAGGCCUUGAAAGAAAUCCAUGACCACUUGAAAAACUUUACUUUAAUGAACAAAAAACUGAUUCGAUACAAACUUAGUAUCACUAAACACAAAAUUAAAAUUAAUUGUAUAAAAAGUUCCAUACAAAAAAAAAGACACUACACACACAGCUGUGAUCAUCGACAAAACAAGAUGGUUAUAGCGCCAUCCAAUGACUUAAAUAGACCAUCUAAUUUACAUAAAUUCUUAACUUUAAAUAAUGAAAAAAUACGAAGUAACAUUAUUAUUAAUAUCUUUAAAUAAUUAAUUCUUAAGUAAUUAAGUAACAAAACAGAAUAAAUAACUCCAAAAAUUAAAUAACUUUUCCAUUCUUCCAUUGGCUCAUUUACAUAAACUUCACCUCGGCCUACGUCGGCACCCCGACACAAGUAAACAACCUCCUCCUCCGGCGACAAAACACCAACAAUCACAAUCCUCACAUCACCCCUCUCUAAAAAAGGUGAUGCUG
rnacentral:lncRNA from 1 species